UCUGAUACCACUUUUGUCACGCCCUGAACCUGGGGGCGAGACUGACACCCAGUGCCUCACUUAUUCUUGCGUACUAACCUGCAACUAAGGGACUCUGAACAUAUGAUGUCAUCCUUUGGCCAUGGGACACAUUGCAAGAUAAUUGCUAAUGCUGACUAAAUGUCAAUAUAUAACUGGGCCGACAAUGCCAUCAUAACUAUUACAAACCAACCAAAUAUACAUACAAGACCUGCAAGCCCAACAUAUUGCACUAAUUGACAGGAUAUGUCUACAAUCCUCUACUGUUAGAUAUACUGUGAUCGGAACAGCUACCCAACCUACUCAUAACAUAUAUAUAUACAAGAUGUACAUAAAGCUCUAGACCCGAAAACUCCGAAAGGCUUGGAGCUUACCGAUCAAGCUGAACUCGGGCAAUACCUAUUGAGGAGGCCUACCCGCCUGUCUGUUUGACCUACACGCAUGAAAUGCAGCGCCCCGAGAUAACGGACGUCAGUAUGAAAUAAUGUACUGAAUAUGUAUAGAAAUAUACUGAAAGCUGAAACUGAACUGAUAAUAUAAUAAUUGCAAGUAGCUGGAAGUCAAAGAUAAUCUGAAGAUAUGCUUACCUGCUGAUACUGACUCAACUCUCUUAAUAUAGUAAGUAAAAUAGCUGGUCGACCCUAUAAGGUUCGGUAUAUAUAUAUGUAUGUAUAUAUAACUGCUCUAUCAUAGUAGGCUCACUCAUAAGCUCUCAGCCAUACUAGGCUCUGUAUCUUGGCCAUGCUAGGCUCGCUCAUGCGCGCUCGGCCACAGUAGGCUCGGUAUAUAACUUACCAUCUGAUCAGAGGUUGCCCAAUAGGGUGUUGAUAUCCAAUUUUUCCCUAUGUAUUUUAUAUAUGCAAAAAACUUUCAAAAUAGCAUAUAUAAGUAUGCCCAAGUGUUUUUGUAUUUUUCCUAAUUUUAAAAAAAAAUUGAAAUCAAUUUAUUGCCCAUUUUAGCAUUACAAAAACUAAUAAUUAUUCCCAAAAUCAUCAUUUUGGUGAAUAACUUAUUUUAUUCUCACAUUUAUACCAAAAUAUAGCUAAUAUAAUUUUUACACAUUUUUAGAAAUUUAUUUAGUAUUUUUAAGGCUAUAUUGCAUAUAAUUGCAAUUUUAGCCUAUUUUAAGAUUUAAUUGCAUUUUAUACUUAUAAAAUUGGUUCCAGUAUUUAAUGUAAUAUUUAUAUAUUAUUAAUUAAGCUAGUACCUUUAAUUUAUUUUUCAGAAAGCAUGUUACUAUUUUUAUAAAAUAAAAAAAGGGGAAAAAAUUGGCUAUUUAAAAUCUAGCCCUAUUUCAUGUCAAUUAUAGCCCAAAUCAACCCCUACAAUUAAACCCCAAUUCCAAUUCAAACGAACCAGCCCAAUUCCUAAAAUUACCCGCCCCUAACCCGUUUAUUUUACCCGCCCAGCUUCCCCUUUUGAUCCAGGCCGUUGAUCAUUUUGAUCAACGGCCAGAAUUCCCUCUUUUCUUUUUAAUUCAAUAACCCCCACCAACCCUAUCCCAUUUCUCACCAAAUGCUGCCUCUGAAACCCCUCCCCUUUCCCAAAUUCUCUCGAACAUUCCCUAACCCUAGUCGCCUCUCACCGUUUUCAACCUGGAUACCCACCGGAAUUCAUGGCUUCUCCGGCCAUGGGAGCCCUAUACUCACCUAUCCUUGCUCUUAUACGCUUGAUACUAGAAGAUUCGAGGCCUGACCUUGAAGGUUUUCGCCCAAACCUCUACUGAUUCAAGGUUUCACGGCCAUCUCCGGCUUUGCUCCGGCGUAUCCUGGUCUUAUGAGCCUGUCUCUAACUUCUCCGACUCAGAUCAGACCUCUUCAAAGCCUUUCUCGUUUUAGGGUUCCUCUGAAACCCUAACUAUUCGAGGUUUUCUCCGAUUUUUCUUAGAUCUGUUAUAUAUCUAUGCUCUAUUUGAGUUGUUGAAUGAUUCUCCCAACCUUUCUUUCAAAAAUUACUUUUAAAGUUACUUCUUUCUGAUUUAGGGUUUUCUGAAAAUGUUCGAAAUGUUUCUCUGACUUUUCUUUUCCUUUUCUUUGUGUAUAUUUGUCUAUACUAUGUUCUUAUGUUUUCUUUUCUACCACACAUGUUCUUCUAUUGUGUUCUUAUGUUUUCCCGUUAUCAUGCGUGUUCUUCUACUAUGUUCCGUUCUUUCUUCUACUGUGUUUCUAUGCUAUGUUCUAACAUGCUUUUCUGAUAUGUUUCGCCUACUGUACCCUUCUACCAUGUUCUUAAGUGUUUAAUGUUUCACAUCUACUUUACCUUGUUCUAAGUUCCUUCUAAAAGAUCCGUUUAAGCAUGUUCUCCUCUACUGUUUAUUCUACUCUCAUUAUGCUUCGAAUUAGUUUCUUCACUCUGUUUGCUUGGAACUUUCAACGGCAUUUGCUUGUUUUCUCAUGAGUUUCUGAAAGAAAUCUCUGAGCCUGUUUUGACUACUUGCUUCCUCACCUCUAUACUCUACUCGAGGUGGAAACCCUAGAAUUGGGGGUUCUACUUUACCUUGUUCUAAGUUCCUUCUUAAAGAUCCGUUUAAGCAUGUUCUCCUCUACUGUUUCUUCUACUCUCAUUAUGCUUCGAAUUAGUUUCUUCACUCUGUUUGCUUGGAACUUUCAACGGUAUUUGCUUGUUUUCUUAUGAGUUUCUGAAAGAAAUCUCUAAGCCUGUUUUGACUACUUGCUUCCUCACCUUUGUACUCUACUCGAGGUGGAAACCCUAGAAUUGGAGGUUCUGCCGAGGUUUGAUCUUGUGAUUAAACUAGGGUUCUAUUUUAGAGCCCUUAACUCUCUCAGACUAAUCUUUGAGUCUAUGAACUAAGUCUGAAUUUCUUUGUUUACACACAAUUCUGAGCUUUUUAAAUUCUUCUACACUAGAUUCUUCUACUGAUUGACAUGACAAUCUCUCUUUCAUGUUUAAGCAUGUCUGUAUGAUUUUAUAUGUGUGAUGAAUCUUUCUUCAAAAAGGUUUUCCAACUUAUGAUUGAUUCAGAAUCCCUUUUUAAUAGGUCUGAUUGAUUGUUACUGAUUUUCCUUAAGUGAAACCUUUCUUCACCUUUUUUGACUGGGUUCAUUCAAACAAAAUCUUUGGACUUCUGAUUUCUUGGCUGUUAACUAAUUUCCUUGCCUUAUUUGCACAAACCGUGUACUGUCAAGACUUUGUCCUUAAAUAGACAUUUAUGUAUUUACCCCUAUUAUACUACUCUGAAAAUGUUUGAUUAAUCUCUUUCCUUAAUUAGUUUUACCCGUUUGAAAUCUGAAUCCCUUAAUUAAAGGUAAACCUUGUGUAAUUGAUUGACAAUCAGUCUUCAAAUUAUUUUCUUACCUUAUUUCUGCUUGCUUUCUACACUAUAAAAGGCACGACCUUUUUUCAUAAACACUCUUUCAACUCAACACUUUACACUACAAACUUCACAAUACACAACUCUUUCUGAACUCUUACUCACACUGAUAGUAUUCUGUCUUCCUAUCUGCACUUUGGCUCUUACAAGACUACUGCUUUCUCUUUGUUUGUUUUCUCUGAAACUAGUAUGUCCUAAUUUUAGUUUCAGCAUCACCCCAAUGUGUUUACUUAAAAUUUUUAUAUCCAUUGCUACCUUACUGUUUAUGUAGAGUUCAAUAUUUAACUUAAUAUGCCUAUGUUCUACUGCCUGUUUCUAAUGUGAAUCUUUGCUCCCUACCCCAUUACCCCUAUGUGUUUGUAAGUGAUGACUUAGGGCAUGGCAACAUGAGUUGUUGCCCAUGACUUGAGUUCUGAACCAGUGAGGUCCUAACCUCUAACAGGCUGGAGGGUGUGCCAACAUAUCCCAUUGCUGAGUAUGCCCAUCACCCUGCUUCUCUUGUGUCCUUGCAAAUUCCUUACUCCUCUAUACCCCCAUAUGCACUGAUUUUUAAGUUAUUCCUUUUCCCCCCUUUUUCCCCUUUCAAAAUUUCACUUAUGCACUUGCACUCUCUCCUAGCUUAUAGGUUCUGCCCCCUCUUGUGAGCCUUGCCUUGGGACCUUGAGUUCUCUCUGAACUUGGACACUUGAGGGCUGGCCCUUCCACACUGCACUAUGUUCUUGAUCUGGUAACAUUUGGGUGUGAGCACUGCACGGAGUCCGUAUGAGGCUCUUAGGGAACUCUGACACAUCCAAAGACGAGAGAAAGGCUUUGGAUCAUGAUCUUUGGAGUUGGUUCAUCUCAUAUUUCAGACAUGGAGUCUGAAUUAGGCUCCCCUUGGUUGUACUUUUAAUUUCUGAUGUAAUUUUGCUUUUCUUAUUUCAUUCUGGGAUGUAAUAACUUGUGAUAUCUAUUGGGGAUGUCUAGUGGAAAGGGAUGGGAAUAACUGUAUGCAAAGGGUAGAUAACUUGCCUAUAGGAAUCCUUGAUCUCUGCAUAUCAUGUAGACAUCCUGCCCAUGAGAUUUUUUUCUGAAUUUAUGCACUCACAUAUAGAUACCAUGUCUAUGGAAUUCUACAUUCGCAUAUAGAUAUCAUGUCUAUAAGAACUUCUGCAUUCUCAUCUUUAGAUAACUUGCCUAUGGGAAUCCCUGAUUUCUGCAUAUCAUGUAGACAUCCUGCCUAUGAGAUUUUCUUUCUGAAUUUAUGCACUCACAUACAUAUACCAUGUUUAUAGAAUUCUGCAUUCACAUAUAGAUACCAUGUCUAUAAGAAUUUAUGCAUUCUCAUCUUUAGAUAACAUGCAUAUAAGAAUUUCUACAUAGAUACCAUGUCUAUAGGAUGCACAUGCAUGUAGACAAUAUGCCUAUAAGACCUUUCUGAUUCUUGUAUACUCAUCUCUCAUCAGGCAAACAUAAUUAUAGGCCUUAAUAAUCAGUGUGAUCGGAUAUCGCGUUCGUAAUAAAAGAUGCAACACAUAGAAAACAUGCUUGUAGGGUUCCUAAUCAAAAUUCGAAUCGCCUCACUCGUUUGUAAGCUUUCCGUAGUAAUGCUUUAUCAACUGCAGAACUUGUACUCUUCUAUUAAAAACUAGCAACUUUUUUUCCUAAAUCAAUCUGUAAUCAGUUUACCUCUUUGUUUAUGAAACCAGUAGAUAUCAUGCCUAAAGGUUUCGUCUAACACUUACACAAGCCUUAGGAUAAAAGUUAUAACUGCACCAGUCUUUGUUAAUCACAACCAGUGGGCAGGUCUAAUUCGGACUUCUUAUCUGAAAACAUGUGAUAAAUCAGCCUGCUUUCCCCUUUUAAGUUUUAUCAGACCCUAAUCAGUACGUGCAAGACAUGCUAAACUAGAUGCUUUCUUUGAUUUAAGGAGGCCUGUUUGAGCCGUAUCUGCUUAUGUGCUUGCCCAGUACUUGCUAUAUAUAUUUUGAUUGUCGCCUAAGAAUUUUGUCCUUUUUAAAACUAUAAAACCUCAAACCCCUUCCCUUUUAGGAUUAGUAGUCCCAAAUACCUCCGGGACUGAUAGGAUUGGGGCGGGUAAUAGCAUGCAAUAAGUAAAUGAGACCAUUCUGCAUUUUAGUACCUUAACGAGGUGGGAAAGUGUAGAUAUAGAUAUGAUGACCACGCGAUAACAUCUCGUAUAGCCCCUCUUUGAGGAGUGAUUACCGGAUGUUGUAUGGGGUGAUCCAUAUUAUUUAUAAACUAGGACCCCCCUUUCCUUUACUUGUUUAUUUCGUUGUUUACCUUUCAGAAUUUCAAACCGUUUUUUUCUCAAAUUUUAGCUUGCCUUUCACUUCUUUUAAUUUUAUCUAUUUGCAACCAUUAUGUGAAAACCCCCCUAAUAUUUGAAACUCUUACUUGCUUACUUAAAGUCACAAUUAUAGUAUGGCCGGGAACCACACUAGUGAAUUCUGAGGGGUGCCUAACACCUUCCCUUCGGGAUAAUUUCAAGCCCUUACCCAAUCUCUGGUUCUCUAAAUCAAACUCUUCUUAGUGUCCUAAUGCACUUUAAUCAUUAGGUGGUGACUCUUCUCUUUUAAUACCCGUUAAAAGAGUUGUCAAUGUCAUAAACCCGAUUUCGCGAGACAAAGGGGGCGCGACUAGGGGCCUGCCCAUUGAUUAUAGAUCGAUGGUAAUGAAAAUACUUUUAAUACUGUAUCUAUGUAACUUCUCUGCUCUCUUGACUGGAAGAAGGAAAUACUCAACUGAAUAUAAAAUCCCGAUAAGGAGAAUAUUAUAACUUACAACACUAGAAAAUAUACGCAAUUUGCGAGACUAGCAAAAUAUACGUAAAUUCCGGGAUAUGAAUGUAAUGACGAGAUCAUGCCAAAUGAAAGAAGAGCUUAGUCUUAACAUACCUGGAGUAGGGAAAACUCCGUAUAAUAUUCUCGAAAAAGAUUGCACCGAACACUUUUAGAACCAUACAAUUUUACGUUGCUAUGGUUUUAGCAAUUCUCGUUCGAAUUGUUUGGAUGCAAGAAUUUUUAUUGAGAUCUUUCUGGAUCGAGCUUGAACUCUAGAACCAUUUGGCUCCUGAUGCGAGCUCUUACUAUUUUCACUGAUCACAUGUGAAAAUGCGCCGCAAUAUAAUGAUGUUGUAGUAGUCAUUGUGACAGUCACUUGCCAGAUUCUAAGGAGAUAGCACAAGAAACAAACUGAAACUGGAAAGUCUACAAAGUGAUUCGGCAGCUAUAUAAGGUUAACCCCCUUUUUUGAUGUAGAAAUAUCAGCAAUGGGGCUAUGAAUAAUUUAUGGUUUUAA
rnacentral:lncRNA from 1 species